rnacentral:rRNA from 1 species
GACGUAGGGGGCGAGCGUUGUCCGGAUUCAUUGGGCGUAAAGCGCGCGCAGGCGGCCCGGUAAGUCGGAUGUGAAAUCCCACGGCUCAACCGUGGAACUGCAUUCGAUACUGUCGGGCUAGAGGCAGGUAGGGGAGAUCGGAAUUCCUGGUGUAGCGGUGAAAUGCGCAGAUAUCAGGAGGAACACCAGUGGCGAAGGCGGGUCUCUGGACAGUUCCUGACGCUGAGGCACGAAGGCCAGGGGAGCAAACGGG